UACGUAGGGUGCAAGCGUUAAUCGGAAUUACUGGGCGUAAAGCGUGCGCAGGCGGUUAUAUAAGACAGAUGUGAAAUCCCCGGGCUCAACCUGGGAACUGCAUUUGUGACUGUAUAGCUAGAGUACGGCAGAGGGGGAUGGAAUUCCGCGUGUAGCAGUGAAAUGCGUAGAUAUGCGGAGGAACACCGAUGGCGAAGGCAAUCCCCUGGACCUGUACUGACGCUCAUGCACGAAAGCGUGGGGAGCAAACAGG
rnacentral:rRNA from 1 species